rnacentral:rRNA from 1 species
UACAGAGGGUGCGAGCGUUGUUCGGAAUUACUGGGCGUAAAGCGCGCGCAGGCGGCCCUUUAAGUCCGCUGGUGAAAUCCCGGAGCUCAACUCCAGAACUGCCUUCGAUACUGGCGAUCUUGAGUCCGGAAGAGGUGAGUGGAACUCCUAGUGUAGAGGUGGAAUUCGUAAAUAUUCGGAAGAACACCAGUGGCGAAGGCGACUCGCUGGACAGACAUUGACGCUGAGGUGCGAAAGCGUGGGGAGCAAACAGG